rnacentral:lncRNA from 1 species
GGGCAUUGUGUGGUCACAGUGCACAGCAGGACUUGAAUCAGGGUCAUGCCUCUCCUGCUCUCUAAAGUUUUUUGGAGAGAGGGUCUUUACUUUUUCUGCUUAGUUGCCGUUGUGUCCAUUUUUUAAGUAUAUAUUUAAGGCAUUGUUAUAGUGAAGUGAGAAUGAAAAAUCUCCUGGUAAUAUGUCAUCUGAUGAAGAAUCACCAAAGAGAAUGGUCAGAGCUGUAACCUGAACAUGAACAACUUGGUCAUUUACUGGACUCGGGGGUCUUCCCCCCAACCUCCGUGGCUUUGUUGAGAUUAUACAACUUUAGAAGAUUUUCUGCCAGAACUACAUUAGUGUGGGUGCACAUGAGAG